UACGAAGGGUGCAAGCGUUAAUCGGAAUUACUGGGCGUAAAGCGCGCGUAGGUGGUUCAGCAAGUUGGAUGUGAAAGCCCUGGGCUCAACCUGGGAACUGCAUCCAAAACUACUGAGCUAGAGUACGGUAGAGGGUAGUGGAAUUUCCUGUGUAGCGGUGAAAUGCGUAGAUAUGGGAAGGAACACCAGUGGCGAAGGCGAGUCCCUGGACAACACCUGACACUGAGGCACGAAAGCCGGGGGAGCAAACAGGAUUAGAAACCC
rnacentral:rRNA from 1 species